UUUCUCCCCUUCCCAUCCUCUCUGUCCGGUUUCUUCCAGGCCACCUCCAAAGAGACCUGCUGCUCCACCCCCAAUCUGUUGCUUGUGCCUUACUAGAGGUUUCUGCCCUUUUCAGCGCCACAUCCCAGGAAAGGAAGAAACAUGCUCCAGGGCUGGAAGUUCGUCUUUGAGGGGAGGAAGUUCCCUGGAGUCUGCAGCAGAUGGGGGAGGCCCCAGUGGGGCGCACGUGGAUGCAUUUCUGGGAGGAAACCAAGUACCAUCCGCUCUCGCUCGCUCCCAUCCAGUGUUUUCUUCCCCCAGCUUGGGAGAAUUUAAAGAGAUGACCCACAGGAAAAGCAUCUACCACACGGUGCAGGCUGUUGAUUAGGAAACGCAGCCUCCCUUGAGUUUCUGUGUGGGUGAACCUGGCUCCUGGGGCCCCGGGUGGGGGUGCCAGGCUUCAGAAUCUGCACACUGCUUCACCACCCCCGCAGCCUGUGAUCCCAAGCCAGGCCCUCUGAUCCGGCAGCUGUCAACACAAGCACACUCCAGUGCUUUCUGCUUUGCUGUUGGCCUCCCUCGGGAAGCUUUGAACACUACUGAGAUCAUCAUUGUCAAACUCUCUGGGCUCUGGUGCAAGGGCAGUCAGAUAAGGAGGAAUAUGACGUGCCAACCCUCCUCUUUGGUCCCCAGCCCCCAGCCUCACCCUGCUGACCUCUGGCUCCUGCUUAGCUCAGAAACUGUGGGCUCAGAACAAAGUUUGAGGUUCUGCUUCUCUGAUUCACCCCUUUCUCCUUCCUGAUUACUGGCAUGGAGCCAGGCACUGCAGGACAGAAAUCAGGUAACUUUACAGAUGGGAGGAAUGAAGUGGUGCUUUUAGGGGCCUAUGUUGUGCUGGGCACCAAAGUAAACUGCAUGAGGACAGGGACCUUGUCUGCAUGGCCCACAGAACUAUCCUGGCACAGUGCUGGCACAUGUUGAGCUCAUGAAAUGAAUAAGUCAUUUGAUAUUGUGAAUAUGCAUUCACUUAUUCACAACUUAUGACUAAAAAAAAGCUGUUAUUCCAUUUUAUGGAAAGGGCAACUGAGACACAAAAUCACAGGCAGGAAGUGAUCAAACCAGGGGUUGAAUCCAGAGCAAUCUGUCUCCAAAGCAUGUGUUCCUUCCGCUGCAGCCCAUGGCCUCCAGGCAUCCUGCCCGUCGAUGCCUGAGGCACCAGGGAGUUAGGAAUGGCAGAGACCCAAACCCAUGAUUCCUGCUGGACCUUCUCCUUACCCCCUAGAUUCUGGAGAGGGCACCCCACAGAGCACUCCAUUCGAGGUGGCCCAUUCAUUUCUGGGCUCCUUGCCAUUGGCAUUGUCCUCUAGCUCUGGACUUCAGGCUAUGCCGCUCUCAGACCCUCAGCCCCAGCCCCCUGCCCUGCUUGGGACUUUGAAGAUGAGGUCACAUGCCUCAGAACUUCUCUCACCUCAGCUCUUAGGACCCCAGCCAUACCUGCUCUGCCCCCCCUCCCCUCUAACCCUCCAGCAAUGUGGGCUUUCUCUGGGGAUCUCAUGUCCAACCCUGACAAGCAGCAGAGCCCAGGGAAAAGAGAACCAGGUUCCGCUCUCCUGCCAUGUACCAGCUAGAUGACCCUGGGCAAUUCUUUUCACCUCUCCAGGACUCAGGUUUCUCAACUGGAAAAUGGGGAUUUUAAAAAAAAUCCAUGCCUAACUCCCAAGGCUGUCACGAGAAUGGAUUAAGGCAAAAGCUGUGAAAGUGCUUUACAAAUGAGAAAGCCUCCUAUUCUUCACUUUCUUCUGAUGGCAAAUCCCCAGCUCUCCUUCCCAAGGUUCUUGCUCUCCCGGCACAAUGUACCCUGAGCACUACACAUGCCUGUCCACCUUUGCUUCAUGAAGAACCAUGAUAUGUCGCCAUUCAAAAUCCAAAUAAAGCCUCACGAGUGAAUCUACUUAUGGGAGACAGAAUAAAGCAAUGGCUAAGAGCUCUAGCAAGAGUAAAAAAUCAAGUCUCCAAUUUUUAGCUCUACCACUUACUAACAGUGUUAACUUUGAACAAUCAUUUUACCUCUCUAAGCCUCAGUUUCCCCAUCUAUAAAGUAGGAUAAUAAUAAUACCUGUCUUAUCAGGUAGAUAAUGUAUAUGUAACAUUCCUUUCUUAUCAGGUAGAUAAUGUAUAUGUAGCACUAGGGACAUAUUAAAUACCCAAUAAAUGGCUACUGUUGUUA